UACCUGUUAAUUCCCACUUAUAGUUAACCCUAAUCAAUUUCCACUUAUAGUUAGAUAGUUUUAAACUUAUGUGACUGCUGCUGUUGAAAAUUAAGUUCUUGUCUCUUUCUUCUGCUUAAGUUUGAGGUUUGACGAGAUUGGCCAUUCUCAGUGACAGCCCAGCUAUGCUUUUCUAGAGAGCAAUUAAAAGAUUUUGAUGAGGUUACUUUAGCAAGAAGAUUAAGUUCAGCUGGCCAGACACUGCUGUGUGAGAGACAGCCCUGGAGAGCUGUUAGCCACUGCUGACAGAUGGCCCCCAAGUUCCUAUGUGCUCUUAGUGAGAAGGUCUGAAUUAUGUCCCUGGUAGAUGCAUCCUUAUUAGAUUAGCACAGUGAAAUAGAGCUCCUGUUUCCCCUUCCCACAGUCUCUGCUUCCUUGGCAUGGCUUUGAUGUCACAAAUAGAUCUUAGAGACAUGGGCUGACCUCUUCCACAGUUACUUCUAUGCCAAGACCUUCUGCUUUUCAUCAUCCUCAACAACUGAACAGAACAUGUUUUCAUAAGAGAACAUUGCUCAAUGACAAAACAAGUGAAUUGUCAGUGAAUUCUGAAGCCUGCAAAACAAGAUAAAGUUGGAGGUCGUCUGGAAGCUGAGGAGAUUCCCAAGAGAGGCAUGGAUAAAGAUGUCGAGGGUACCUAGUGACUGAGUGGAAACUAGGUGCUUUCUAAACUGAAUUCUGCAGUUCACUGAAGUCUGAAACGUCAGAAGUUGUCACUCAAAAGGGAGAGCUGGGGCUGCUGAGAUAAGAUCUGGUCAUCCUUGAAAGGAACAGGGCCAGCCAACUAAAGGAAUGAAGACGUGUUUGAAUUGGAUCAGCUGUGCAACCAGCAGCAGAGGAAGUGAGCAAAUGUUGACAAAUUCCAUAUGUUCAGCUUUUCAGGUAAGGUAGCUUCAUCCUAGAAUCUGGACAGCAGUGACAAC
rnacentral:lncRNA from 12 species